ACGGUUCGGAGUAAUACAGUCAGGCGUAUUUUCAUAUGGUGGUAGAACUGUCGGCUGUAAAAUCGUCUAUGUAAUAUUUUUCAACGUUGUAAUAGCAUAAUUAAUCAAACGUUAAAAAAAUAAAAUAAUAAUUAAAAACAUAAAUAUAUUUCAAAAAUCAGCAAAUUCAAUCGCUUUAUCCGUUAGUUAAAUAACCAGGGUUUUUUUUUCUGUAAACAAGAUAUGGUCUUCACAGAAUUUUUUUUUUUUCGACCGUAAAUUAAACGUUCAUGUUAUAGACAUGGAUUUGAAUGCAUACGAUAAUUAGGUGUUUGAAUUUUUUUUGUAAAGAAAGUUGGGUGUCCGCGUCUAAUGUCGUUGUGAGUCAUAAUUACGAGAAGACUUUCUGUCGAACAUAAUGGGUGAUUGGUUCAAAUUUACCUCGGUUCUUUAUCCUUAUUUAUUUAUUUUAUCUUUUUUUAUCGGCAAUUUAAACAUAUUCAUAUAAAUUUUGUAAAUUAAAAAGUUAAUUUCGUAUUCAUAUAAACAACAAACGAUAGUUGCUGUCCGCUUUUAAAUUUUGCGUUUGUGGUAUAUGAAUGAGAUCUUAGCUAUUGAAUCUAGGGGUGGGCAAAAAAAGCGAACCGAACCGAGUCAAACUGAACCGAAACUGAUUAAAACCGAAUCCAAUUCUAUUUCAAACCAUUCGGUUGAAGAUUUUCCCAACCC
rnacentral:lncRNA from 1 species